AUGCAAUUGAUGAUCAAAUACCCUACAUAUGCCCACCCCCCUCUGGGGCUUGACAUUGAUAGGUGCAAUUAUAUGCAGGUUUUUUUUGUAUUCUCAUGUAAUGUACCACAAAGUAUCAGCAGCAUGUUAUUGUGGGACCUUUGAUCAAUAUGUAUAUAAAUAGACAUAUUUUUGUUUUAUUGUUUCAUUAAUUUUAAUGAAAAAUAAAAAUUACUCACAAAGUUGGUCAAGUGAAUGUACAAACUAUUUAUUUCUUCAUUUAGUACAGCACAUGUUACAAUUAUGUACUUGUCUUAAUUGCAUGAGUGUGCAUGACAGACUUUUUUUAUUUUAAUUGUGCACACCCACUUAUGAUUAACCUAGUUUUUGU